CCCAACUUUAUCUUAUCAUCUUCACCUAUUUUGUAUCAUUCUUUGUUCUGAAUUUCUAUAAUAUAUUACCUUCUUUGAGUCUAUUUCCUUUGAAGCAUCUGUUCUUAUUGUUGUCCACGACUGUAAUUUCUUGUGCAUCUCAUUUCUGAUCUUGAAGUGCUGGGCUGCUUCAGGGUUUUUAAGGCAAACAAAGAUGGAUUUUUGUAUGGAGCUGCCAAAAGGAGCUGCCUCAAAACUUGGAGAAAUGGGAGUGGAGUCUAUCAUAAAGCAAUUUAAAUAUAUGAUCCAAUACAAAAAUAUAAUUGCCAAUUUGAAUGAAGAGCACAAUAAUUUGGAUUCUUUGAGACAAUCAUUGCAAGGGUGGGUGGAUGCAGAAAGCACAAAAGGAAACGAAAUUCCACGUAACGUGUUGAACUGGCUCUCUAAAGAAGCAGAAAUUGAAGCUGUGUUAGAAAGUUUCUAUGAAAACAAAGUUAACAAGAACAAGAAGUGCUUUUGGGGCCAGUGUAUAAAUUUUGCAUUCAAUUACUCACUGGGUAAGCAAGCAACUGAAAAAAUAGAAGUUGUUACAAGAUUGAACGAGGAAGGAAAACAGCUUUCACUUAUAUCCUACCGUAAGGAUGCACCAGCACUUGGAUCAACCUUCAUAGAAAAUUACAAGAGUUUGGAGUCCAGAAACCAAAUUAUACAAGUGCUCAUAGAGAAGUUGAAGGAUGGUCAACUCAAAAGGAUUGGCAUUUGUGGGAUGGGUGGAGUGGGGAAAACCACACUUGUGAAAGAACUCAUCAAAACUGUAGAAAAUAAGUUAUUUGAUAAAGUUGUGAUGGCUGUUGUAUCCCAAAAUCCUGAUUACGAGAAGAUUCAAAGACAAAUUGCUGAUGGUUUAGGUUUGGAGUUAAAAGGGCAGAGUUUGGAAGGAAGGGGUUGGGAAAUAUUUCAAAGGUUUAAAGAAUUUGAAGAGAAGAAUGUUAAGGUGCUAAUAGUCUUAGAUGAUGUGUGGAAAGAACUUAAUUUUGAGUUGAUAGGACUUUCUUCUCAAGACCAUCAGAAAUGUAUAAAAAUAUUAUUCACAUCACGAGAUGAAAAGGUGUGCCAACAGAAUAGAAGCCAAGAUAAUGUACAUGUCUCUGUGUUGCUCCACGAUGAAGCUUGGAGCCUAUUUCGAGAAAUGGCUGGAAAUGUUGCAAGCAAACCUGAUAUCAAUCCAAUAGCAAGUGAGGUUGCAAGGGAAUGUGGUGGUUUGCCCCUUGCAAUUGCAACAGUUGGACGAGCACUUGGCAACGAGGAAAAAAGUAUGUGGGAGGUUGCCCUACAACAGCUGAGACAAGCUCAAUCAUCAUCCUUCUCAAACAUGCAGGAAUGUGUAUAUUCACGAAUUGAACUUAGCAUCAAUAUAUUGGGUGUUGAACACAAGUCAUGCCUUUUCCUUUGUGGAUUGUUUCCAGAGGACUUUGACAUUCCUAUAGAAAGCCUGUUGCGUCACGGGGUGGGCUUGGGGUUGUUUAUGGUAGAUGAUUAUGUUUGGAAAGCAAGAAAUUAUAUAAACUAUUUGGUGAAUAGUCUGAAAAAAUGUUUCCUAUUGUUAGACAGUGAAGAACCAGGGUGUGUAAAGAUGCAUGAUGUUGUGCGUGAUGUUGUCCUAAAAAUUUCAUCCAGAGAAGAACUUGGGAUUUUGGUGCAGUUUAAUGUAGAAUUAAAGAGGGUGAAAAAGAAACUAGCAAAAUGGCGUAGGAUGUCCCUUAUUUUGGACGAGGAUAUUGAGUUAGAAAAUGGCCUAGAAUGUCCAACUCUAGAGCUUUUACAGGUUCUAUGUCAAAGAGAAAAUAGAGAAGUGAAUAUAUGGCCAGAGAACUUUACCCAUGGAAUGACUAAACUCAAAGUUUUAUAUAUUCAAAAUGUGUGCAUUCCAAAAACAUUAUCUCAUUUCCAUGCCUCAGUCAACCUUCGCACGCUGCAGCUAGAAGGAUGUGAUGUUGGAGAUAUAUCUAUAAUUGGUAAAGAGUUAAAUAAACUAGAAAUCCUGAGCUUUGCCAAUUCUAAUAUUGAAGAACUUCCACUUGAAAUUGGGAAUUUGGAGUUUCUCACAUUAUUGGAUUUGACAGGAUGUGAUUAUCUUAAUUCUAUUUCUCCUAAUGUCUUAGCAAGGUUAUCAAGUCUGGAAGAGUUUUAUUUUAGGAUAAAAAACUUUCCUUGGUUGCUAAACAGAGAAGUUCUCAAUGAGUUAAGAAAUAUUUCUCCACAGUUGAAGGUUCUUGAGAUCAGAGUAAGGAAGAUGGAAAUUUUACCAUGUGAUAUGGAUUUCAAAAACCUGGAAUUUUUUUGGGUUUAUAUUGUUUCUAAUGAUUCUUAUGAGCGCUGUGGAUAUUUGGAGCCAAAUAGAAUACAAUUAAGAGAUUUAGAUUACAACUCUAUCAAGAGUAGUGUGAUGAUCAUGCAACUGUUCAAGAAAUGUGAAAUUCUCAUAUUAGAAGAAGUGAAGGACUUGAAAAAUGUCAUAUCUGAAUUGGAUGAUUGUGGACUCCAAUGUGUGAGAGAUUUAACCCUUGUUUCAUGCCCCCAUCUUGAGUGUGUCAUAGAUUGCAAUACUCCAUUCUCUGCAUUCCCAUUGAUCAGGUCGUUGUGUUUAUCGAAACUUGCCGAGAUGAGAGAAAUUAUUCAUGCACCUGAUGACCAAGAAACCACAAAAGCAAUUAUCAAAUUCUCAAAUUUGGAGAAAUUGGAGCUGAUGUUCCUCGACAAGUUGAUUGGCUUUAUGAACUUCAGUUUUUUGAACGAGCAUCAUCAACUAAUUCAUAGUGGAUUGAGUUCUACAACUAAAUUAACAGAUUCAACAAACAUCGAGGAUGGUGAAACCUCCAGAUCAAAUCCAGAUGGUUGUAGACCCUCAUCAGUUAGUGGCAAGUUGUUUUCAUCUAAUUGGAUCAUACACUUUCCAAAGUUGGAAAUAAUGGAGUUACUAGAAUGUAAUUCCAUAGAGAUGGUAUUUGACUUGGAAGGAUAUUCAGAAUUGAUCGGAAAUGCACAAGAUUUUCUGUUUCCUCAGCUAAGAAACGUUGAGAUAAUACAGAUGCAUAGUUUGUUAUAUGUGUGGGGUAAUGUUCCAUAUCAUAUUCAAGGCUUUCAUAAUUUGAGAGUUCUAACGAUCGAAGCAUGUGGUUCUUUAAAAUAUGUAUUUACUUCUGUCAUUGUUAGAGCAAUCACAAAUCUUGAGGAAUUGAGAGUAAGCUCUUGUAAAAUGAUUGAGAACAUAAUAGUUUACAGCAGAGAUGGUAAAGAGGAUGAUACUAUUAAAGGAGAUGUGGCCGCAACUAUUAGGUUUAAUAAACUAUGUUAUUUAUCUCUUUCUGGACUUCCAAAGCUUGUGAAUAUUUGUUCAGAUUCUGUUGAGUUAGAAUAUCCAUCCUUGAGGGAAUUUAAGAUUGAUGAUUGUCCAAUGUUGAAGAUAUCUCUAUCACCAACAUAUAUCCAUGCAAAUCAAGACAGCCUCAACAAUGUCACACAUUCAAAAAAUAAAGAAGAUGAUAAUAUUGAAGUAAACAACUCAAACUCGUCAACUUGCCCCCCUGCAGGGUGUACUCCUUUUCUGUCCAAAUUCUUUCAUAAAGGAAACGCAAAUAAGAGAAUUAACAAGGAAGUAUCAAUAACACGAGCACCAGAGGAUCAUAUACCUUCUAGUUUUGAAAUGAAGAUGAAGAAAGGAAAAAGUCAUAUGCCUGUUCUAGAAGACUUGUGCAUAGGAAAAUGUGAUUUUCUAGAGUUUAUAUUUUUUCACAAAGAAAAAGUCAAUUUCUUAGUUCCUUCACACUUGAAAACCAUCAAAAUUGAAAAGUGUGAGAAGUUAAAGACCAUAGUUGCUAGCACAGAAAAUAGAAAGGACGUGACAAACUCGUUUACUCAGUUAGUGUCACUUCACUUGAAAGAUCUUCCACAUCUUGUGAAGUUUAGCAUUUGUGGACCAUAUGAGUCAUGGAACAACCAAAUAGACAAGGAUGAAUGUAUGGAUGAUCAAGAAAGUAUUAGAUGUCAUCUACUCAUGGAUGAUUCCUUGUUUCCAAACUUAACUUCUUUGCUCAUAGAAGCUUGCAACAAAAUUAGCAUCUUAAUCUCUCAUUCAUCUUUGGGGAGUCUUGAGCAUCUUGAAAAGCUAGAAGUACGAAAUUGCAAGAACAUGCAAGAAAUAGCAUCUCUAGAAGAAAGUUCAAAUAAGAUUGUGUUACAUAGGUUGAAACAUCUAAUUCUUCAGGAGCUACCCAACCUUAAAGCCUUUUGCCUAAGUUCAUGUGAUGUCUUUUUCCCGUCAUUGCAAAAAAUGGAAAUUAAUGAUUGUCCCAAUAUGGAAGUUUUUUCACUAGGAUUUUGUACUACACCUGUGCUUGUGGAUGUCACAAUGAGGCAAUCAUCACUCAAUAUUAGAGGCUAUAUACAGAAGACAGACAUCAAUGAUAUUGUACGAGGAUUUAAAGCAUUUGUGGCAUCACAAGGAUCGAAGAUGUUGAGCUGGACCAUGUUGCAUAAUGAAGGAUACUUUAUCAAAAACUCAAAAAUAAGUAUCAAAGAAUGUCAUGAACUGCCAUAUCUUGUUCCUUACAAUAAAAUACAAAUGCUUCAACAUGUGGAGGAACUCACUGCAGGUUAUUGUGAUUCACUAGUUGAGGUGAUUGAAUCAGGAGGAGGAAAAGGUACAAGAAAAGGGGAUGUCAACACACAUUAUCAAUUAAAAAAUUUGACAUUGCAGCAGUUGCCAAAAUUGAUUCACAUAUGGAAACAUGAUAUUGUGGAGGUUAUAAGCUUCCAGAAGCUUACAAAAAUUGAUGUUUAUGCUUGCCACAAUUUGAAGAGUUUGUUCUCCCACUCUAUGGGUAGAAGCCUUGUGCAACUUCAAGAAAUAUCAGUUUGGGAUUGUGAAAUGAUGGAGGAGAUAAUAACAAAGGAAGAGGAAUAUAUAGAAGGAGGCAAUAAAGUCAGGACAUUAUUUCCUAAGUUGGAGGUAUUGUCACUUGCAUAUCUUCCUAAGCUGAAAUGUGUUUGUUCAGGAGAUUAUGACUAUGAUAUCCCUUUAUGCACUGUUGAAGUGGAAAAGGAAUUCAAUAAUAAUGAUAAGGUUCUGAUUUUAUUUCCACAAUUAAAGGAUUUAGUGCUUAGUAAAGUACCAGAGCUCAAGUGUUUUUGUUCAGGAGUGUACGACUACGAUAUCAUGGUGUCGUCAACUAAUGAGUGUCCAAAUAUGAGAACCUUUCCCCAUGGAAAUGUUAUUGUAGACACACCCAACCUUGAUCAUCUAUGGUUGGAGUGGAUAUAUGUGCAAACACUUGGAGACCUAAAUUUGACAAUAUAUUAUCUUCAUAAUUCAGAGAAAUACAAGGCGGAGUUGCAAAAAUUAGAGACAUUUAGAGAUAUGGAUGAAGAGCUUCUUGGCUACAUCAAAAGAGUAAUAGUGCUUGAGAUUGUAAACUGUCAUAAGCUAUUGAAUUGCAUCCCAUCCAACAUGAUGCAAUUAUUCUCACAUGUGAAGUCUCUAACAGUGAAAGAAUGUGAGUGCUUAGUAGAGAUAUUUGAAUCAAAUGAUAGCAUCUUGCAGUGUGAACUAGAGGUCUUAAAUUUGUAUUGUCUUCCAAAACUGAAGCACAUCUGGAAAAAUCAUGGUCAAACUUUAAGGUUCGGGUAUUUACAAGAGAUAAGGAUCAAGAAGUGCAAUGAUUUGGAAUAUGUGAUUCCGGAUGUUUCCGUGGUCACAAGCCUUCCAAGUUUGAUGUCGAUUCAUGUGUCUGAAUGCGAGAAGAUGAAGGAGAUCAUUGGGAAUAAUUGUUUACAACAGAAAGCUAAGAUUAAAUUCCCAAAGCUGAUGAAAAUUAAACUAAAGAAGCUUCCUAGCCUCAAAUGUUUCAGUGAAAGCUCUUUCCAUUGCUACGUUGAGAUGCCAGCAUGUGAGUGGAUACUAAUUAAUGACUGUCCAGAGAUGAAGACCUUUUGGUACAAUGGAAUCUUGUACACUCCAGGUAUUUAUAGAAUUUGUGUAGAAGAUACCAAAUUUGACAUAGAUGAAGAUGUUAAUGAAGUGAUACAACGACAGAAUAAAUGAUUGUGUGUUUGGUGUGAGGAAUUUUGAGGUUAGGGUUUGUGCUUUGGGAAAGAAGAGGAAUACCCAUAUGAUGAAAGUUGCUCAUUAAAACUUUUUGAAGAGAAAGUGGCUUCCUUUGAACAACUGAUACGCAUCAAGACAUACAGACAAACCUCUUAGUUGCAUCACCCCCAAUAUGCAUAGGUUUUUCUCACUUGCAUCAUCCUUACCUCAUGCAAGCAAUCAUAGCUAACAUACAACCACCUAGCAACUUCUGUUGACGUUUUAUUUCGUGCAUUUAGGUUACUUUUCAGCAUUUCCAUUUUCAUUACAUUUGUAUCCAUGGCUUCUAGGAUUACUAUAAAUAAGGUCAUUUCCUUCAUGUAUCAACAUCAUUGAAUUAUAUAAAUUAUGAGUUUCUUA